rnacentral:lncRNA from 1 species
UUCGCAACCGGCUUCACCAUCGGCUCCUGGUGAAACCCUGCUAAAGGGGUGAAGAAAAAACGGCUUCACCAUGGGAGCUCCGCAAGAUGCGGUGACUGGAGCCGUUCGACGGGAAGGGAGCUAAAAAAGUAGCUCCCCAUGGCUCCUCCCCGUCUGCAGGAGCAAAGUUUUAGAUUUGUCCCGGGAGGGUGCUAAGGCGAAGACGAGCCCGGCGGCCAACCGACGGGGCAGGGCAAGACAGAUGCAGGGGAGGUCAGACCUGGCAGCUGACCGGCGCAGC